AGAGAACUCUGGUGAUUCUCAGGAGGGAGAGUCCACCUCCAGUCCAUUUGUGCUGCGAUGUUUUAGUUAUUUGGUUUUAUUCACCAGGACCAAGCUACCCUUAAAUACAUACAGUAUUUUAUGAGAAAAAAGAAGCCUGCUUUCAUCAUUCCAAAUGAAACCUUCGGGCAUUUCAAGUAAUACAUGUUACAGCUUUGAAGAAUAAAGAUAUUGAAUGGUGAGAAUUUAAAAAUAUCGAAGGGACUUUCAGAUGGCAAUUUUAUAAUCUGAAACUUUAAAAAACAAAACUUGGAAACUUAAAAAGCAAAAUUGUAUAAUCUGAGUUGUCUCUUUACACAUUUAUGAAAUUUUGUGGAAAAGCAAAUCUUUAUAUGAAAGGAGAACUUGGAAAUUUUAAAAUAUGAGUUGUUAUUUUGUUUCCCAGAGCUAAUACAGGAACUGUAAACCACAAGUGAAACUGCUGGAUGACACUAAGAGUAGUAAUAAUGUUCAUUUCCUGAUGUCAGAAAGAUGGAAAAAGGAAGUACACACUUCUGCAAUUGAAUUGAACUAAAGCAAUUCAAUGAUGCCGGCUUUGGUUGAAAUGAUGAGUCUGGCCACUAACAGAGUUUCCUUACAAGCAGGCCAUGGCCAAAAGGAGAUCAACAGACAAGAUGCCAAAAUCAUCAGCAGGACCUGCCAUUGGAUUCCUUUGAAUCUUUUCUUGCCGUCUUCAAUCUUAGGCUGCCUUCCUUGCCGGCUUAAUAAAGUUGGUGUGUUAGACAUUUUCAGUUAUUCCGUCAGAUCUACCCUCUGCCUUUCUCUGUCUGCCCUGGGCCCUGCAAGACCCAGCUGUAUGGAUUACAUGAGCGGGCACCCUUAUCUGCUGACUUCUGCCUGGAUUCCACCAGUUGAAAGACCCUUCAGGAAACUGAACAUAGAGAAUGAAACUGAGGUAUUUGCUUACUUAUCUGUGAGGUCAACGUGUACUAAUCACAUUCUUUCACCCAGGAGGAGACUUUGUAGUAAAGAUGUUUUUCUAAGGAAAUUUUUCACCUUGGGGAUGGAUCAACGUUUUGGUCAUCAAGAUUUUACCGUCUGGGAAAGGAAUAUUUGUGAUAUGUCUGGGCAGGGUACAGAGUAG
rnacentral:lncRNA from 1 species